CGCUCGCAUCUGAACACAAGAAAACAAAAACUAUGUAGUGAAUCUAGUUUUGUUUGUAAUAAUUUUAUAAUCCUCGUUAAUUAUUUUUCUAUCCUAAAGUUAAAAAAAUGAGUAAUUUAGAGGAGUAAAAGUGUAAAUCAUCGCCAGGUGUUAAUUCCCCGAUAUAAACACAUAAAGAAGAAGAAAUUAAAGAAGAUUACUUUUGUUUGGUUUCAGAUUCUGUCAAGUGUGAAAAAACAGAUUUCAGAUAUGUUGAAACAACAAGGCAACAACAAAAAAUAAGGUAGUGGCUAUACUUACUGGUGGUGGGGGAGAGACAGAUCUAAAGUGUUUUUGUUUUCUUCUGUUUUGUUUUCAUAUCCACUCUACUUUUAGGCACCAAAGAAAAAAGUAUAAGGUUUUAUCUCGAUUUGUUAAUAAUAGGCAUGUAAAAUAACAUAUGCUAUCAGACUUUUAUCAGUUGGAAUUUUUAUAAAAGAUCUUGUAUUAUGAUCUUACUACAGAAAAUAUACGGGAAGAUUGUGCCAGAUAAAGUUGACAAUAUUCAAGUAUAUUUAUAUAUCAAAUAUUUAAUGUGAAUAUAAACGUGCUUAGCUAAAUGAGAUUGACAUUUUACGUUUAUUAAUACCACUUGGAAACCAGAAUAAUGUUAGCUGGACAGGAGUAAUGUGACAUGCUUAUGUGUUUGUUUUGAGGUUUGACUAAAGAUAAAGAAAAGACUGUAUGUGUAAAAACAAGCAUUAUUAUUCGACCGGGCCUUCUCAUGCCAACUCAAAAAAUUUCGUGACAAUUUUGUUUUUAGAAUGUUAGUAUAAUUAUUCUUCAACGAAAUAUAUACAAAGAAAAGAAGAAUUAUAGUUUUAAAUAUUUAACAGUGCAAAAAUGAAAACAAACAUUUUUUUUGUGGACAACUGAUAAAAAAGAAACAUUAUGAUGUUCAAAGUACCACGUACAAUUACCUUUCUCUCUCACCUCCAUCUCUCUCUCUAAAAACCUCCACAAGCGUUUUGACCUCCGUUCUCCGGGCCGGCUCUCACCGGUGCCGGAGCCACCCCUCUCCUCCCUUCCUGUUUUUCUCUUUGCCUUUCUCCUCACCUCCUUCAUCCUUUUCGAUAUGCAAGCUGUUACUGAACUGUUUGGUGUUUUCACCGGAAACCUUCAAGGCGAAGGUGAGUUCUACCGGCAGUUUGGAGGAGCGGCGAGUCUAGGAUCUAGUGGUGGCGGAAAAGGUCGGCUUUUAGGGUGAAGUGUGAUGCCAGAUCUGAUUUUCUCGUUUUGUAGAUCUCCGGCGAUCCUUUCACGGCGGCGGCGCGUUGCUCAGUGGGAACCCUUCUCCGGCUUGGUCUCUACCCUCUGGUGAGACGGUGUCCCAAACGGAGGAGCGGUGACUUGGCGGUGGAAAAUGCUCUUGACCUCUGGUUCUCGGAGUACGGCGCGUCGCAGAGGCCUCAUUCCGCCGGACUUGUCAACCGUUGGGAUGAUCUCUGUUGCAGGUACGUGGUGAUGCUCUACUUCCCAGCACUGAAGAUGGCUCUCCAGCAUCUACAGUGGUAGAGCCCACGGCAUUGGAAGCCCUGAUUGCUGUUCCAGCUACGUUGCUUGCCGCCGAGCCCGCCUUUAUCAGUACGGACGUGUUUCCGUCUUUCAGGCUGUAUGAAGUGAGGCGUUUGAGCACGACAACGACAACCAUGGCUAGACUUGCACCGUAUGGUGAAGAUGUUUUAGUCCAAGAGCUGAACUCGUACAUGUUGGUGACUAAAGCUGGAGCUUUAAACGUAUAAUCUUGAUUUGGUUCAGUUAGUUGUGUCUUAACGCUUUCACUUAGUGUGGUCAAAUUUAGGUGUGGUUUAAGAGGCAACUUUUCCCGAGUCGUGGGGAGAGUUUGCAUUCACCGGGUAGAAUUACAACAAAGUAAAUGAUUGGGUAGCUUAGGAUCCAUCUAUGUGUUCCUAGGUGAUACUAGAUCACUUUGUUUGUAAGUGUGGUUGAAAUCCUUGUGGUUACAAUUCAUGUACUACCUUUUGGUUAAUGAUAAGUUGAAGUUGAGCCAAAAAAAAAAAAAAAAAAAGUACCACGUACAAUUUUACCAAAAAAAGUACCACGUACAAAAGUUUAUAGCGAGAAGUCGGCAACUGACAAGCCAGGUGAGUUGAGUAAUCGAUUAAUAGGCCGUAUAAUAAUUAGAAAGCCCAUUACUUUUGUAGAUAGUCCUAAGGCCCAAACUAUGAUAUCAAGGUCAAGGAUCAAGUACUGUACACUUGUACACCGACAAGCCAGGUGACGAAAUACGAUUGGAUACUGACGUGUUCUUGUUAUGCGCAGGUGGAAUUAGAGAUGCGGUACCCUGGAGUGAAACACUUUGCAUGGUGCAAGGUGGCUAGCUCAGUGCCGCUGCUUAUAUGGAGUCUUCUUCUUCUGAGAACCCUAAGCUCUAUUCAGGGCGAAAGGUAUAGGAAAGAAAGGUAAGGCUCUACAUUACAAGGGGAGCUCCUUCCAUAGGAUCAUCCCAAGCUUAAUGCUCCAGGGAUGUGAUUUCACCCAUGGCAAUAUGGAAUGGGAGGAGAAUCUAUUUAUGGUGAGACCUUUGCUGAUGAGAACAUUAAACGCAAGCAUACUGGUCCAGGGUUUCUGUCAACGGCAAACGCCGGCCAAGACACCAACGGUUCACAGUUUUUCAUCACAACAUUAACAACAAGCUGGUGAGUACAGAAUCAGCGGCUAGUAUGUUUCCUCACAACAUUAACACACAAGUAUGUUUCCUCCUUUUGAUUAGAGAGCUUGGGACUUUAUACAGGUUGGACGGCAUGUAGUGUCCGGAAAUGGAUGUGGUGUACAAAAAAUGGAAGCCGAUGGGAAUCAGAGUGGAACUCCUAAGAGUAAAGUAGUGAGCUUUCUCUGUAACUCAACUCGUGGAGCAUUCUCCAUCGAUCAUGCGACCUUUAGUGCUUGAUGACUUUUGUGUUUAAACACCUAUAUUAGCCACUUAUUAAUGAUUCUACCAAUCUGGUUUUUAUUUCUCC